GGGGUUGUGGUUCAGCAGUAGAACGCUCGCCUAGCACCUGGGAGAGGCUGGGUUCGAUUCUCAGCACCACA
rnacentral:tRNA from 1 species